rnacentral:rRNA from 1 species
AGAGUUUGAUCCUGGCUCAGGACGAACGCUGGCGGCGUGCCUAAUACAUGCAAGUAGAACGCUGAAGAGAGGAGCUUGCUCUUCUUGGAUGAGUUGCGAACGGGUGAGUAACGCGUAGGUAACCUGCCUUGUAGCGGGGGAUAACUAUUGGAAACGAUAGCUAAUACCGCAUAACAAUGGAUGACUCAUGUCAUUUAUUUGAAAGGGGCAAAUGCUCCACUACAAGAUGGACCUGCGUUGUAUUAGCUAGUAGGUGAGGUAACGGCUCACCUAGGCGACGAUACAUAGCCGACCUGAGAGGGUGAUCGGCCACACUGGGACUGAGACACGGCCCAGACUCCUACGGGAGGCAGCAGUAGGGAAUCUUCGGCAAUGGGGGCAACCCUGACCGAGCAACGCCGCGUGAGUGAAGAAGGUUUUCGGAUCGUAAAGCUCUGUUGUAAGUCAAGAACGAGUGUGAGAGUGGAAAGUUCACACUGUGACGGUAGCUUACCAGAAAGGGACGGCUAACUACGUGCCAGCAGCCGCGGUAAUACGUAGGUCCCGAGCGUUGUCCGGAUUUAUUGGGCGUAAAGCGAGCGCAGGCGGUUUGAUAAGUCUGAAGUUAAAGGCUGUGGCUCAACCAUAGUUCGCUUUGGAAACUGUCAAACUUGAGUGCAGAAGGGGAGAGUGGAAUUCCAUGUGUAGCGGUGAAAUGCGUAGAUAUAUGGAGGAACACCGGUGGCGAAAGCGGCUCUCUGGUCUGUAACUGACGCUGAGGCUCGAAAGCGUGGGGAGCGAACAGGAUUAGAUACCCUGGUAGUCCACGCCGUAAACGAUGAGUGCUAGGUGUUGGAUCCUUUCCGGGAUUCAGUGCCGCAGCUAACGCAUUAAGCACUCCGCCUGGGGAGUACGACCGCAAGGUUGAAACUCAAAGGAAUUGACGGGGGCCCGCACAAGCGGUGGAGCAUGU